UUUUGCACGGGGCAUUUUAUGCGACGCUCUAAAUGAGGCGCCUGUUGUGGCGCCUGUCCCCUAGCAAAGUCCCAGGGGUUUCUUUCCGUGAAGUUCCCCGGUGGCAAACCUGGCCCGCGUCAUGCGUCGAGUCGAACAUGCGCUUGAGCAACGAUCAGGACCGUUUGGCUCUUUGCACGCUCGUAAGAUUGUUCUAGAGUCGAGGAUCGAAGCGAGGGUCUAAGAAGAAACUGUGAAAGUCAGAACAAGCAUGCAAGCAGCAUACUGGGCGCAAUGAUACCUUACUUUUUGGUUGUACGGGUACGGGGAUGCCCUACAGUUAGAAACUGGUUCGCCGCGAUAGUUUGAUACAAAGGUGGUCCAAGUGUAGCUGCACUGCUAAGCAAACUCUGUUUCAAAAUACGCGGGAAACGUCUUACACAACAAACUUUACGUCUCUCGAGCCUGCAGGCUUACCAUCUAAGGUCCACUACUAGUUGUUCUUGGUACUAUUGCUUACUUUAUACUUGAUCCCAGGAAUGGCAGAAACCGUUACAGGUGCGCAACCUAGCGUCCAUGUGGCUUUGUAACGCAGCUCAUCGACCCCGCGCGCGCCUUGUAGAUGCAAAAGCCGCUUUCAAGCGGAGUAUGUCGCUAAAGGUGGACAACCCAACAACAGACGUGGUAAGUCGUGAUCGGAAAGCUAGCAGGGGGCCCCUGAUGUCCAGAAACUCCGUUAGACGAUGUGUUGUUCGGACCUACCCCAUAAUCGACUCUCCGUCGUUGUUCCCAGUAUACUAAAUGUGCCGCUCGUGCAAUCUAUGUGCUGUCCGAGUAAUAUUUCAUUGUUAUUACUUGGCCCGCCAGGGUGAUAGGAUUAGUUCGGUCCCUUUCUGAUGGAGCAAGCCGCGCCUCCUCUUAAGGGCGUAAGGCUUAUUUUUACCUAAUUUCAUGUUGUCCGUUGGUUCAUGGCAGCAUCCGGGGUAGCGGCGGUUGAGACAUGGCAGCGCGGCACCCCAACAUUUCAGAAGCCGGAAGGCCGGCGGAGAGUACGCUCACACACGGGAAAGCACGCUGGCCCACCAAUCCGCUGCCUCCGUUCCUCCAUUCGCCUGGCGUCCUGUGCGGGCUUUGGCCACCCCAACCUCGACCACGUGCUGCUUCCCCCCUGUCACAUCCAUCCACUCCCCGCGCCUUGCUGGUGUUGCUAUCCUCCACCCCACUCGCCUCCAUUCGCAGACUGAGGCAGAGCCCGAGCCGGAAGUAGACGUCGCGCCCACACCCACUGCUGCAGAGCUGGAUGCUACUUUUGAAAAAGAACUCGAAGGUAUGAGUCUACCUAGCACAUCUUCCUCGCAUCCAUAUCUUGGCGUGUUUGCUGCGAUUGGGAGUACCGUUUGCGUGCGUGCUUUCGAAUGUCAUACGAGCACGGGUACGGACGUAGGGCCUGGUCAGCUUGAGAACUGAUGAGCAAUGGGUCCGCUGUGUGCUUUUACAUCCCGCCCAUCUCCCAUUUCCACCACCGUUAUUUCCAAACCCCCCCAUCCGCAGCACUUCAAAAAUCUGCCGAGGCCGACAAGAAGUAGGGUUGUGCUUGUGUAUAUGUAUAUCUGUGUACACACGAGCAGAAGCUCAGGGCAAGCGGUAUGUGUGUGCUGCUCGUCUGUAACACGCAACGUGCUUUUCAGUAACCAUUCAUCAUCAGCGACGAGGGGCUUUCCGUCCCUUCCUAGGGGGCUGGGCAGGCAGGCUGAGGACACCGUACGUAUGUACGGCAGGUGAUGCUGUCGCUAGGGGAAGUGAAUAUGCAGAACUGUGAGAGGCUUGUGAGUGGCUAGGAGGGAGCUUCUGGUCGGUUGAGGGGCUUGUGGUUGGUAAGAGUUUGGCUGCUCGGUUAAAAGAGUGGUGAUGGGAAGGGUACGGGUAAAGAGGUGGGUGUCGGUAACACCCGGGGCGGGGGGCGAAGGUUGCGUAGGGCUGAAUGGAUGCGCACAUGUUUUGGUGUGUAAGCUGACGUUAAAAAGCCAAUUUUGUUGCCUGCUGUCGUCGUGUCGUCAUGUCCUCAAGGUGCAGCGUUCCUAAAAUGAUGCAAAGACCUGAUGCGGCCUAAGGCAUGUCUAGUGAGCCCUGCUUGGAUUGAUUGUCAACUUGCAUGCGCAUUUUUUAAAUUGGAGAAAAAAGUGCGCUUUAUACCGUAACAUGCGUCUUGGCGCUUCCUUUCAGCUGCAGCACGAGUUACCCCUCGGAUGAGAAUCUCAUGAAUCACUUUCUUGUGGCUUGGUUAUGCUGUUGUCGCUUAGCCGCUAGCAGUCGGUACCUGUUUCUCAACAGUCCGUGGGACCUGUUUUAUUUGCUGUUGGUGGACACCAUUGCCUUGCACGAUGUGGGUUUGGCUGUUUGUUGACGUCAGUCUGACGGUCUGGGGGGUGUUUCCGGUUGGGUCGACCCGGGAUUCUAUUGCAGGGGGGUUGUUGCGCCGGCUAGCCGUGACUGCAGUAGUAUGUCAUUUCGUUCGGAUUGGGCUGCAUGUGGUGGUACGCCAUCGCAGUGGUGGUAGGCCACACUCUUUGGCACUCGGCCCGCCGGUAUUGUCAUCGUUGUUGUGUAUCGUACGUAAGUACGACCUCAUAAGAGUGACCGCAGGGCUGGCUAUCCUUUCCACAUUUUUUUACGGUCAUGUACAGUAGACUGCCCCUGCUCACCGGUGCCGUCGCAAGCACAAGCAUAAUCGGGCUGACGAGAGUUGGUUGAAACUAAACAAGGCAGAUAGCAAAAUUAAAUACCUCUAGCCUCAAUCGCGCCGACAGCAGUAGUGUAUAACAAAGCCUGCUGUAGUCAAAGUCAUCUCCCCUCUGGUUGGAUGCGCCAUGGUUUGCCCCCAUGAAUACAUUGCCCCACCUGGCAGCGCCCCCCCCUGCAGCCGUAUGUUUCUCAUCACCCUCGAUCCGCCCUCGAUCCGCCCUCGAUCCGCCCUUAUCCGACCAGAAAACUGACCCUCCCUAAGCCCUCUUCCAAACCGCCACCUCACACACUCCCAAGCGCCAAAGUCGCCCGGCU
rnacentral:lncRNA from 1 species